AUUCAUAUCUCCUUUGCAGACCUGGUCCUAGAUGACUAUGGCUACAUAAAAUAGAGGCGAGUCAAAGAUGGAUCUCACCAAUGUAAUGUUGAAUGAUAGGGGACAUAAACAAAAGGAUAUAUAAUGUAUGAUGCUGCUUAUGUGGUUAACAAACAGGCAGAUGGAAUAUAGAGAAACCGAACAAGGACCAGAGAAAGACAAACUUUAAAACCGACGCUUGAAGCUGACCAUAAAUCGGAGGCCUCUGGGAGAGGAGGGAAGAGGAUACAGAUGUUAAGAAUAACAAGAGGAUAAGCUGCAAUGAAAACUGUUUGGAUGACUAAUGCCAGGCAGUGGUCUCCAACCAAAAUAUUGGGUGCUAAUAUGCCUUUGCAGGGACUCAGAGCAGAAGUCAUGUCUAUUAUUUCUUUCACAUCGCAUCAGCAAAUCCUAGAGUUCCAUCUGGAUACAAUGGAAUACUACACAGCAGUAAAAAGAACAAGCUAUGUACAUACACAACACCAUGGAUAAAUCUCAGAGAUAUAAUGAUGAAUGAAAGAAACAAGAUAGAAAAGAGUUACAUCUGCAUGAACUUCAAGAAUAAAUACAAUUAAAGAAAUCAAAAUGUAAAACUGUAAGAAUAUAAGAAAUGUAAGAACAUCUAAACUUACAGAAGUAAAAAUGGCUACCUUUAUGUGGGGAUUGACUUAGAAGGAGUACAAGAAAUACUUUCUGCCAUGCUGAAAAUGUUAUAUAAGGUGCUCUGCAUGGUUGUUUUAUGGGUAAAUAC